rnacentral:rRNA from 1 species
UACGGGGGGGGCAAGCGUUGUUCGGAAUUACUGGGCGUAAAGGGCUCGUAGGCGGCCAACUAAGUCGGACGUGAAAUCCCUCGGCUUAACCGGAGAACUGCGUCCGAUACUGGAUGGCUUGAGGUUGGGAGAGGGAUGCGGAAUUCCAGGUGUAGCGGUGAAAUGCGUAGAUAUCUGGAGGAACACCGGUGGCGAAGGCGGCAUCCUGGACCGGCAUUGACGCUGAGGAGCGAAAGCCAGGGGAGCAAACGGG